rnacentral:rRNA from 1 species
GAUGAACGCUGGCGGCGUGCCUAAUACAUGCAAGUCGAGCGAACGGACGAGAAGCUUGCUUCUCUGAUGUUAGCGGCGGACGGGUGAGUAACACGUGGAUAACCUACCUAUAAGACUGGGAUAACUUCGGGAAACCGGAGCUAAUACCGGAUAAUAUUUUGAACCGCAUGGUUCAAAAGUGAAAGACGGUCUUGCUGUCACUUAUAGAUGGAUCCGCGCUGCAUUAGCUAGUUGGUAAGGUAACGGCUUACCAAGGCAACGAUGCAUAGCCGACCUGAGAGGGUGAUCGGCCACACUGGAACUGAGACACGGUCCAGACUCCUACGGGAGGCAGCAGUAGGGAAUCUUCCGCAAUGGGCGAAAGCCUGACGGAGCAACGCCGCGUGAGUGAUGAAGGUCUUCGGAUCGUAAAACUCUGUUAUUAGGGAAGAACAUAUGUGUAAGUAACUGUGCACAUCUUGACGGUACCUAAUCAGAAAGCCACGGCUAACUACGUGCCAGCAGCCGCGGUAAUACGUAGGUGGCAAGCGUUAUCCGGAGUUAUUGGGCGUAAAGCGCGCGUAGGCGGUUUUUUAAGUCUGAUGUGAAAGCCCACGGCUCAACCGUGGAGGGUCAUUGGAAACUGGAAAACUUGAGUGCAGAAGAGGAAAGUGGAAUUCCAUGUGUAGCGGUGAAAUGCGCAGAGAUAUGGAGGAACACCAGUGGCGAAGGCGACUUUCUGGUCUGUAACUGACGCUGAUGUGCGAAAGCGUGGGGAUCAAACAGGAUUAGAUACCCUGGUAGUCCACGCCGUAAACGAUGAGUGCUAAGUGUUAGGGGGUUUCCGCCCCUUAGUGCUGCAGCUAACGCAUUAAGCACUCCGCCUGGGGAGUACGACCGCAAGGUUGAAACUCAAAGGAAUUGACGGGGACCCGCACAAGCGGUGGAGCAUGUGGUUUAAUUCGAAGCAACGCGAAGAACCUUACCAAAUCUUGACAUCCUUUGACAACUCUAGAGAUAGAGCCUUCCCCUUCGGGGGACAAAGUGACAGGUGGUGCAUGGUUGUCGUCAGCUCGUGUCGUGAGAUGUUGGGUUAAGUCCCGCAACGAGCGCAACCCUUAAGCUUAGUUGCCAUCAUUAAGUUGGGCACUCUAAGUUGACUGCCGGUGACAAACCGGAGGAAGGUGGGGAUGACGUCAAAUCAUCAUGCCCCUUAUGAUUUGGGCUACACACGUGCUACAAUGGACAAUACAAAGGGCAGCGAAACCGCGAGGUCAAGCAAAUCCCAUAAAGUUGUUCUCAGUUCGGAUUGUAGUCUGCAACUCGACUACAUGAAGCUGGAAUCGCUAGUAAUCGUAGAUCAGCAUGCUACGGUGAAUACGUUCCCGGGUCU